AUUUCUGAAUUCUCAAAAUCUAAUUUAAAAUCCUGACAGCCAUCAAAAAAUGAUCAUAAAAUCAUUCAUCGACAGCAGCUGAUGUGGUACAGAUAGAUUGAUUGAUAUUUGAAAUAUGGCGUUUUAACUUAUAUUUAAGGCUGCACAUCCGGGUGGGACCCAAGUUCGUAAAUCUGUGUCAUAGUUAAGGAAGAAUAUGGAAAGACUCCUAAUUCUCCAAAACAUUUUCUUCCUCUGAUUCUCUGGGAUCAAUCAGUUCCACCCAGUUCUUUCUUCUGGAGGCUGCUGACGCCAUGGUCACCGAGAUGUUUGAAUCCUAUCAAAAUUUAAUUGACGGUUGUUCUGAACUUGAUGAAUACUAGCUAGGAAACUAGUAUUAACUGAUCACUCUUCUCAGAACCAUGAGAUACCCAGUGGAUGGCCGCUUGGGCUUGGGAUUAUGAACAUGAGACUUAGAGUGUUGCAGAGAUUACCAGCCUCUGCUGCAGCAGAGCCCCACUCUUUGCGCGUGGCAUCAACCAGUUUCUCCUCAUUCUCUUCCUCUAACCUUGAUACUGAGUCCACAGCAUCCUUCUUUCAAGAUCAUAGCGUGUCACUCGGCCGGCUAAUUGGGAUAAGACCAGGCGAAAGAUCAGGCUUCUACUUGCAAAACUCAAUCAAUUUUGAAGAGCAUAACAUGAUGCCUGCAAGGGAUGCAAACACUGAUGUCUCUAGACAUAGAGUGGACAUGUCACGGGGAAUUUGCAUUCCUCUGUUGCUUGGUGCUCUGGUAAAGAUGAGCCGGAGCAAGAGCAAGUCAAGAAAGUAAUGCUUCACGGCCGGCCGGCAUUCUGGCAUUCAGGGGGAAUAAACUUCCACGACAUGGAUCAAUGCUGUUAUGAUUUGUAUUCAUAAAUGAGCUGCUCGUCGUAAUAAUGACUUCUGAAUUCAGAGCAUUGUUUCGAUUUCGUGUAGCAAGUUGAACUUAUAAUAUAUUAUUCUUGCUCUUUGCCAAAUUGCUUGAUUUAAGUGAUGGCUCCAUUUGGAACUCACUUGCUAAAGCUUUGUGAAUAUCUUUCCUGCGUUUAAAUAUGACAAGAAAUAUGCUUGAGCCUCA